AUGCUCACUGUGGCAGCACAUACACUAAAACUGGAAUGAUGCAGAGAAGAGCGUGGUAUCUGUGCAAGGAUGACACACAUUUGUGAAGUGUUCCAUAUUUAA
ensembl:snRNA U6 U6 spliceosomal RNA